AUUGAACGCUGGCGGCAGGCUUAACACAUGCAAGUCGAGCGGGGUGAUGGUGCUUGCACUAUCACUUAGCGGCGGACGGGUGAGUAAUGCUUAGGAAUCUGCCUAUUAGUGGGGGACAACAUCUCGAAAGGGAUGCUAAUACCGCAUACGUCCUACGGGAGAAAGCAGGGGAUCACUUGUGACCUUGCGCUAAUAGAUGAGCCUAAGUCGGAUUAGCUAGUUGGUGGGGUAAAGGCCUACCAAGGCGACGAUCUGUAGCGGGGCUGAGAGGAUGGUCCGACACACUGGGACUGAGACACGGCCCAGACUCCUACGGGAGGCAGCAGUGGGGAAUAUUGGACAAUGGGGGGAUCCCUGAUCCAGCCAUGCCGCGUGUGUGAAGAAGGCCUUAUGGUUGUAAAGCACUUUAAGCGAGGAGGAGGCUCUUUUGGUUAAUACCCAAGAUGAGUGGACGUUACUCGCAGAAUAAGCACCGGCUAACUCUGUGCCAGCCGCCGCCGUAA
rnacentral:rRNA from 1 species